AGCGUACACGGUGGAUGCCCUGGCAGUCAGAGGCGAUGAAGGACGUGCUAAUCUGCGAUAAGCGUCGGUAAGGUGAUAUGAACCGUUAUAACCGGCGAUUUCCGAAUGGGGAAACCCAGUGUGAUUCGUCACACUAUCAUUAACUGAAUCCAUAGGUUAAUGAGGCGAACCGGGGGAACUGAAACAUCUAAGUACCCCGAGGAAAAGAAAUCAACCGAGAUUCCCCCAGUAGCGGCGAGCGAACGGGGAGCAGCCCAGAGCCUGAAUCAGUGUGUGUGUUAGUGGAAGCGUCUGGAAAGGCGCGCGAUACAGGGUGACAGCCCCGUACACAAAAAUGCACAUGCUGUGAGCUCGAUGAGUAGGGCGGGACACGUGGUAUCCUGUCUGAAUAUGGGGGGACCAUCCUCCAAGGCUAAAUACUCCUGACUGACCGAUAGUGAACCAGUACCGUGAGGGAAAGGCGAAAAGAACCCCGGCGAGGGGAGUGAAAAAGAACCUGAAACCGUGUACGUACAAGCAGUGGGAGCCUCUUUAUGGGGUGACUGCGUACCUUUUGUAUAAUGGGUCAGCGACUUAUAUUCUGUAGCAAGGUUAACCGAAUAGGGGAGCCGAAGGGAAACCGAGUCUUAACUGGGCGUUAAGUUGCAGGGUAUAGACCCGAAACCCGGUGAUCUAGCCAUGGGCAGGUUGAAGGUUGGGUAACACUAACUGGAGGACCGAACCGACUAAUGUUGAAAAAUUAGCGGAUGACUUGUGGCUGGGGGUGAAAGGCCAAUCAAACCGGGAGAUAGCUGGUUCUCCCCGAAAGCUAUUUAGGUAGCGCCUCGUGAAUUCAUCUCCGGGGGUAGAGCACUGUUUCGGCAAGGGGGUCAUCCCGACUUACCAACCCGAUGCAAACUGCGAAUACCGGAGAAUGUUAUCACGGGAGACACACGGCGGGUGCUAACGUCCGUCGUGAAGAGGGAAACAACCCAGACCGCCAGCUAAGGUCCCAAAGUCAUGGUUAAGUGGGAAACGAUGUGGGAAGGCCCAGACAGCCAGGAUGUUGGCUUAGAAGCAGCCAUCAUUUAAAGAAAGCGUAAUAGCUCACUGGUCGAGUCGGCCUGCGCGGAAGAUGUAACGGGGCUAAACCAUGCACCGAAGCUGCGGCAGCGACGCUUAUGCGUUGUUGGGUAGGGGAGCGUUCUGUAAGCCUGCGAAGGUGUACUGUGAGGUAUGCUGGAGGUAUCAGAAGUGCGAAUGCUGACAUAAGUAACGAUAAAGCGGGUGAAAAGCCCGCUCGCCGGAAGACCAAGGGUUCCUGUCCAACGUUAAUCGGGGCAGGGUGAGUCGACCCCUAAGGCGAGGCCGAAAGGCGUAGUCGAUGGGAAACAGGUUAAUAUUCCUGUACUUGGUGUUACUGCGAAGGGGGGACGGAGAAGGCUAUGUUGGCCGGGCGACGGUUGUCCCGGUUUAAGCGUGUAGGCUGGUUUUCCAGGCAAAUCCGGAAAAUCAAGGCUGAGGCGUGAUGACGAGGCACUACGGUGCUGAAGCAACAAAUGCCCUGCUUCCAGGAAAAGCCUCUAAGCAUCAGGUAACAUCAAAUCGUACCCCAAACCGACACAGGUGGUCAGGUAGAGAAUACCAAGGCGCUUGAGAGAACUCGGGUGAAGGAACUAGGCAAAAUGGUGCCGUAACUUCGGGAGAAGGCACGCUGAUAUGNNNNNNNNNNNNNNUGCGGAUGGAGCUGAAAUCAGUCGAAGAUACCAGCUGGCUGCAACUGUUUAUUAAAAACACAGCACUGUGCAAACACGAAAGUGGACGUAUACGGUGUGACGCCUGCCCGGUGCCGGAAGGUUAAUUGAUGGGGUUAGCGGUAACGCGAAGCUCUUGAUCGAAGCCCCGGUAAACGGCGGCCGUAACUAUAACGGUCCUAAGGUAGCGAAAUUCCUUGUCGGGUAAGUUCCGACCUGCACGAAUGGCGUAAUGAUGGCCAGGCUGUCUCCACCCGAGACUCAGUGAAAUUGAACUCGCUGUGAAGAUGCAGUGUACCCGCGGCAAGACGGAAAGACCCCGUGAACCUUUACUAUAGCUUGACACUGAACAUUGAGCCUUGAUGUGUAGGAUAGGUGGGAGGCUUUGAAGUGUGGACGCCAGUCUGCAUGGAGCCGACCUUGAAAUACCACCCUUUAAUGUUUGAUGUUCUAACGUUGGCCCCUAAUCGGGGUUGCGGACAGUGUCUGGUGGGUAGUUUGACUGGGGCGGUCUCCUCCUAAAGAGUAACGGAGGAGCACGAAGGUUGGCUAAUCCUGGUCGGACAUCAGGAGGUUAGUGCAAUGGCAUAAGCCAGCUUGACUGCGAGCGUGACGGCGCGAGCAGGUGCGAAAGCAGGUCAUAGUGAUCCGGUGGUUCUGAAUGGAAGGGCCAUCGCUCAACGGAUAAAAGGUACUCCGGGGAUAACAGGCUGAUACCGCCCAAGAGUUCAUAUCGACGGCGGUGUUUGGCACCUCGAUGUCGGCUCAUCACAUCCUGGGGCUGAAGUAGGUCCCAAGGGUAUGGCUGUUCGCCAUUUAAAGUGGUACGCGAGCUGGGUUUAGAACGUCGUGAGACAGUUCGGUCCCUAUCUGCCGUGGGCGCUGGAGAACUGAGGGGGGCUGCUCCUAGUACGAGAGGACCGGAGUGGACGCAUCACUGGUGUUCGGGUUGUCAUGCCAAUGGCACUGCCCGGUAGCUAAAUGCGGAAGAGAUAAGUGCUGAAAGCAUCUAAGCACGAAACUUGCCCCGAGAUGAGUUCU
rnacentral:rRNA from 1 species